UGUUGAGCACCAGAAAAAAGCCCCUUAUUUGGAGGUGGAGAGGAAAAUCCAAAAUGGGACGUCAAGGACGAGAUAUAGGUUUCCCCAUGUUCAUGACAACUUUGAAAAUCGGUAUGCGAUUGAAAUGGCAGAUCACAUUGUUAUUCACAGUAAAUAUUUUCCGACACGAUAUCGAUGAGACGAAUGAACGAAUAUACAAACUGAAAACUCAGAUUAAUUGCCUUUAUAAGUGAUAUUUUACUUCUUAAAGAAAAUGUCUUUCGUUUAUU